rnacentral:rRNA from 1 species
ACUCAAAGGAAUAGACGGGGACCCGCACAAGCGGUGGAGCAUGUGGUUUAAUUCGAUAAUACGCGAGGAACCUUACCAGAUCUUGAAAUAUAAAGGGAUAAUACAGAAAUGCAUUAGCUCGUAGCAAUACGAGCCUUUAAACAGGUGGUGCAUGGCUGUCGUCAGCUCGUGCCGUGAGGUGUUGGAUUAAGUUCCGCAACGAGCGCAACCCCUGCGUUUAGUAGCCAUCAUUCAGUUGGGCACUCUAAACGGACGGUCUGCGAGAGCAGAAGGAAGGUGGGGACGAGGUCAAGUCAUCAUGCCCCUUACGAUCUGGGCUACACACGUGCUACAAUGGGAAGGAACAAAGGGAAGCGAAGCAGCGAUGCGGAGCAAAUCUCAUAAAACUUUCCUCAGUUCAGAUUGCAGUCUGCAACUCGACUGCAUGAAGAUGGAAUCGCUAGUAAUCGCGUAUCAGCAACGACGCGGUGAAUACGUUCUCGGGUCUUGUACACACCGCCCGU